CCAAUCAAACAAACAAUAAGAUCCACCUUUAAUCUGGACCGCACCAUUUGGCAGCAGCUGACAUAUAUAAAGGAUAUUGAAAGAAGGAAGCCUUCUUUGCCUGCUUGGCCUAGCUCUGGCUACCAAGUUCACUCCUUUACUAGCAUUAGAACUUACUUUUUGGUAAUUUUGUUGUAUACUGAAGACCAGCUAAGACAUCCAGUCAAAGGGACUGAACAACUUCAAAUUUCCAUUGGUAGACAGCCACUGUUGGAGUAGCUGGGCCACAGCUUGUGAGACAGUCCAAUAAUUUGACUUUAUACAUACAUGUAGAGAUUCAUUCUAACUGGUCAUGUUCAUGUAGAGAACCUUGAAUAAUGUAGCUGUUUUUUUUCUUUUUAACCUGCCCACUGAGGAAGAUGUGCUGGCUAACAAUAGUGCUCAUAAAGACAUUCUUCCUGGCUCCAUUAUUCUCUAAGUAUUCAACUUUCCAUGAAGACUACUCUUUUUAUUACUCAUUUGCCAACAGUUUGCUCUGAAUUUCAGGAAUAAAACACCUAAAUUAAUGGAGCCAUCAUCCAGCCUUCUGAUGGGAGAAAGAUCUAUUAUCUUGUUUGUGAUCUAGUUCCUGCUUUUCUUUCCUGGUUGUCUGAAGUCCCUGUGUCAACCAGGUAAAAAAUACCUUCAGUUCACCUGACCCCAGUGUGAAACCACAGAACAAACAUCUCCUUUUGUGUCCUUAAAUCCCUCUUUAUUUGUUAAUAUUUCAGGCACCCUUCUAACUGAGUGAUAGGGAAUCACUCCACCCACAUAGUAUGGAGGGCUGUACAAUCUAGGUAGCCACAUUGUGUCCAGGAGGAAGAAGGGGAAGUGCCUGUGCAGAGCAGGAAGAUAGCAGGGUCUGCUAUUAGAGCCAGAGGCAAGUGCUAUUGAAAUGCAUAUGUCUGCUGUUGUAGAAAAGGUAUUUGUCUGAGGCGGAAGGCAAGGCCAGGAACCAUUGUGCUGUGUCUUUCAGCACAUAGUAACCCUAUGGGAGGUGCUCUUGUCACUCAGAACUCACUAGCCAAUCAGGCCCUCCAGGCGACCUGCCAGUCAUAAGUUGUGUAGGGCACUUCCGGGCUACAGGCUUCCGGAAAUGCUUUGAAGAGGAGCUGGCGGGAGAGGUCUUGUGUGCUGUGCUGUGAGUGCUGCUGCAGGGAGCUGAGCAGAGAGCAUGGGAAACCAGGACCAGGACACAGAUGGAGCCAGUCUCUGCAGUGGGUGCCCUCUGUGCAGAGCCUUGGUGAGCCAGGCACUGAGAUGGCCCUGAAGACUUUCUACUUUGCCGGAAUAGUCACCAUGAACAUCACUGUGGAUGUGCCUCUGAUCAAAGACAUCAUCCACACUUCCAAGGCCAUCAGGACCAGCACAUGAUAAGUGAUUCUGCAAAAUUUGACUUCUUUAUUGGGAUGGACACUAACACACUUGGACCACAGGUGCAGCAGGUUUUGUAUGAAGUUGCUUCCUGGGACUAGAAUUCACUUUGCUUACUCCUUCCAUAAUUAAAGGUUUAGCUGGAUAUGGUCUUACCCUUAGGGUACCUUACUAGGAUUCCAUUCCAGAGCAAGGGCCUUUUUUUUUUUUUAAAGAUUUGUUUAUUUAUUAUGUAUACAGUGUUCUGUCUGCAUGUAUCCCUGCAGGCCAGAAGAGGGCACCCGAUCGCAUGACACAUGGUUGUGAGCCACCAUGUGGUUCCUGGGAAUUCAACUCAGAACCUCUGGGAGAGCAGUCAGUGCUCUUAACUGCUGAGCCAUCUCUCCAGCUCCUAAAGACAUUUUUGUUUGUUUUGUUUUGUUUUUUGUUUUUCAAGACAGGGUUUCUCUGUAUAGCUUUGCACGUUUCCUGGAACUCGCUUUGGAGACCAGGCUGGCCUUGAGCUCACAGAGAUCCGCCUGCCUCUGCCUUCCGAGUGCUGGGAUUAAAGGUGUGGGCCACCACCGCCCGGCAAGGGCCUUCUUUAUAAUGGUGAUAAACUCCUUGAAAAUUCCUGCCUGUUUCAACACUUGACUGCUAUCUGAAACUACCUUUUCAUUUUCAUUUAUUUCUGCCCAACUUGUUGACUUAUUUUUUUUAUUUUUUUAACUGUAGGCCUCAGUGAGUCACCAAUAAUAACCAAGCAACCAAGAUUCAAUGUUCCAUUUAAGAAAUUAUCAUGGGCUGGAGAGAUAGCUCAGAGGUUAAGAGUACUGGCUGCUCUUCCACAGAUCCUGAGUUCAACUCCCCGCAACCACAUGGUAGCUCAUACCCACUGGUAAUGAGAUCUGGUGCCCUCUUCUGUCCUGCAGGCAUAAAUGCAGACAGAACAUGGUAUAUAUGAUAAAUAAAUAAAUAAAUCUUAAAAAAAAAAGAAAUUAUCGCAUUAUUUUUUAAUUCUGUCAUACUUAAUUUCCAGGGCAUUGGCAGAAUAAGAAAGAUAUUGGAGCCAAAAUACCACAACAAUAAUGUCUACCUUAAUUUUUCAUUGAGCCUAUUUCUGACUGAAAUCCUGUGAUCUCAACCUCCACUUUCUGCCAUUACUCUCAACAUUCCCAUCUUCCUGAUCCUACAAGAACAGACAAUUAAGUUGUGUGUACAACUUUCUAUUGCUUUUGCUACCUAAAGUCCUGAUAUCUUCCACAUUUCUCCAAAAGAAAACAUCCCAGGUUCUACCUAGCAACAACAUCAUGUUUCCUGUUCCAUUUUUCUAUUCUAACAUGCUUGUAUGCUGCUGGGAUUAUAUCUACUAACCAAAAGCAUCUCAGGCAAUGAACAGGUUUAUUUGGCUGAUUCUGUCAGAUCACAUGCCACCAUUUUGGGAGCUUAGGAUAGAAACUCAAGCUAAUAACUGAAGGCAAAACCCAUGGGCAAAGAUUGUUUCCUGGCUUUCUCUCUUGCCCAGUUACUGUCUCAUGAUCAGAUAGCUCCCUUUUCAGCCUAGGUAGGUCCACUUUCUUAGGGAUAAUUCCACCCUCAGUGGAGGAGCCUUCCCACAUCAAUCAUUAAUCAACACAGACUCUCACAGACACAGCAGUUUCUGGCUAUUAUGAAUAAUGCCACUAUGGAAAUAGUUGAACAAGUGUCCUUGUGGUAGGAUGGAGGAGCAUCAUUUAGGUACAUGCCCAAGAGGGCUAUAGCUAACUAGGUCUUGAGGGAGAUUGACUCCCAAUUUUCUGAGGAUUGCAUAUUGAUUUCCACACCUGCAACAGCAAUAAAACCCCUUGCUCCAUGUCCUUGCCAGCAUUAGCUGUCACUUGUGUUAUUGGACUUAACCAUUCUCACAGGUAUAAAGUGGAAUCCCAAAGUAGGUUUGAUAUGCAUUUUCCUGAUGGCAAAGGAUGUUGAACAUUUCUACAAGUGUUUCUCAGCCACUUUAGAUUCUUCUACUGAGAAUUUUAUUUAGAGGUGUACCCCAAUUUAAUUUGACUAUUUGGUUUGUUGUUGUCUAGAUUCUUGAGUUCUUUAUUAUCCUGAGUGAGGCAACCCAGAAGCACAUAGACAAACAUGGUACAUACUCACUUAUAAGUGGAUAUUAGUAGUUAAUUGAAGUACAGUCACAGUAAUCACAGUUAAUCACAGUACAUACAAUCCAAAGAUGCUGAGAGGCCCAGUAACAAGAACGGCAAUAGGGGUGAUGCAUGGCUC